AAAAAAAAAAAAAAAAAAAAAAAAAUACCAACUGAAACUAAGUUGAUAUCUGGAAUACUUGCUGUCACCUCCAAACAUUUUGAUUUCAUUCAUCCCUACUGCAUCCUUUAGACAUUAAUGUCUGUGAGCAGACAUAUCAUGCUUUUCCUACUAUUUCUAGAAGCAUGUUGAUGCCAGGGUUCUUUUCUUGCCCAUGAAUCUGAUGUUGAUGUCCAUCAGUCCUGCUACUUGAGACCAUGUUCCGUCUUUCCAUGAUGAAGAAAGUUAAUUUCCCUGCUUCCAUCUACCAAAGUAAACUAUGUGGCUAUCCUUUCUACAUGCUGCCACCUGAAACCUUGUGGAUUUACUUGAUCCCUGCUACUUCUUUUACCCAUAUGGAUAUCCAUUUUUAGAACUAUAAUGCUUUUCCUACUUCUUCUGGUAGCAGUGUUGACGCUCAUGCUUUUGUAAACAACUUGACACCAUGUUGGUUUCCAUGAUCUCUCCUGAUACAGGUAAUUAUGUUAAUGUAGGUGUUCCUUAUUGCCAAUGUAUAGAAUGGUAAUUUCCAAGAUUUAACCAACUUUUGGUAACUAGUUGAUACACAUUAUUCAUGCUCUCACCUGCAGCCAUGCUGAUGUUAUUGAUCACUGAUGCCUUUGCAAACCCUGUUGAUAUUAAUGAAUGGAGCUCCCCUGCAUUCCUAUUGGUUUUGUAAACCACAUUGUUGCAGGUGGUCUUUUUUACAUGGGCUAACAUCUUGAUUGCCAUAAAUUCUCUAGUCCCUUAUGACCAUAUUAAGGCAAGUGUUCCUUUUUGGCAAUGUGUAGAAUGGUAAUUUCCAAGAUAUAUCAAGCAUUGGUAAAUAAACAAAUAUCCAUAUUUCAUGCUGCCACAUCCUACCAUGCUGAUCUCAUUGAUCCCUUUUGCUACUGUUAAUCCUGUUGAUGUCUAUGAAUGUACCUGUAAUGCAUUUGUUGUUUCUGUAAGCCAUGUUGACGCAUGUCCUUAUUACCAUGGGAUAACACCUUGAUUGCUUUCAAUUCUCCAUCACCUUAUCACCUUAUUUAUGUAAGUGUUCCUUUACCCAUAUGAAGAAUGUAAUUUCCAAGAAUUGAUAUACUAACAGAAACUAAGUUAAUAUCCUGAAUACAUGCUGCUACCUCCAAACAAGUUGAGGUCUUUAAUCUCAGCCUAGUCUCUUAAAUAUGUUCAUGUCCAUGAUUGGAACUAUAAUGCUAUUCCUACUCCUUCUGGAAGCAAUGUUGAUGCUCAUGAUCUUCCUACCACUGGACACCAGGUUGAUUUCUUUGAUCUUUCCUCCUACAAGUUACCAUGUUAAUGUAAGUGUUCUUUUUUGGCAACAUAUUGAAUGGUAAUUGCUAAAAUUUAAUGAACCUUUGGUAACUUAGCUGGUGUCUGUAAUUCAUGUUUACAUGUGCACUCAUGCUGAUGUCAUUGACCCCUGCUGCCUCUGUUUACCUUGUUGAUGUCUAUGAAAGGACCUGCUGGGCAUUCCUUUGGUUCUGUAAGCCAUGUUGAUGCAUGUGGUCCUUGUUUUAAUGGGAUAACAUCUUGAUUGCCAUGACCUCUCUGGCCCCUAUGGCCAUAUUAAGGUAAGUGUACAUUUUGCCAACAUGAGGAAUGUAAAUUUUCAUGAUCUGAAAUACCAACUGAAGGUAAGUUGAUAUCUGGAAUACUUGCUGCUACCUCCAUAUAAAUUGAAUUCAUUUAUCCCUGCUGCAUCUGGUAAACAUGUGGAUGUCCAGGAUCCAUUGUCUUAUGGAAUUUCUGGCAUUACUAGAAGCCAUGUGGAUGCCUGUGGUCCUUCUUGCCAGUAUAUUUCACAUAGAUUUCCUUGAACUCUUGCCACCUGUGACAAUGCUAAUGUUAAGUGUUCUGUGCUCUCAAUGUGAAGAACAUUAAUUUCCAAGAAUUUAACCACCAACUGAAACUAUGUUGAUAUACAGAAUACAUGGUGCCACCUCCAAACAUGUUGAAGUCAUUGAUCCCUUCUGCCUCUGUUGGACAUAUUGGUGUUUAUGAUUCUAAUUAUGAUAUUCCUAGUACAUUUGAAAUCCAUGAUGAUGCCCAUCAUAUUUGUACCAGUGGAUACCAUAUUGUGUUUUGUGAUCUCUCCUGCUGUCUUUACCUUGUUAAAUUAAAUGUUCUCUCACCAACAUGAAGAAUAUUAAGUUCCAAGAUUUAACGAUUGAAAUGUUAAGUUCCAAGAUUUCACUAAUCUUGGAAACUAAUUUUAUAUCCAUAAUUCUUGGUGUCAUCUGAAUCUAUGGUCAUUUUAUUGAUCCCUCUUGUCUCUGUUAACCAUGUUGAUGCCUAUGAUCAGAACUUCCAUGCUAUUCUUAUUCCUUCUGGAAGCCAUGUUGAUUUCCCUGCUCCUUGUUACCUCUGGAUAACGUCUUGAUAUUGGUGACCUGUGUGGUCAAUUAUGACCAUAUUAAGAUAAAUUUUCUGUUAUUCCAACAUGAACAAAGUAAAUUUCCAAGAAUUCAACUAUCAUCUAAGUUAAUAUCCAUAAUUCAUGCUGCUGUCUAUAAACAUGUUGAUGCCAUUGUUUUCUGCUCCCUCUUAACGGUUUUGAUGUCCAUGACCAGACAUUCCAUGGUAUUCCUACUAUUUCUGGGAGGCAUGUUAAUGCCUGUAGUUCUUCUUGCUGCUCAAUAUGAAGUUUAUAUCUAUCUUUCCUGCCAUUGUUUUGUGAAUGAGAAAAAUGUUAAUUUUCAAGAUUUAAUGUGCAGUCUGAAAAUAAGUUGAUAUCUAUGAUUCAUGCUGCCACCUGCAACCAUGUUGAUGUCAUUGAUCCAACUCUGUUAAUCAAAUUGAUGUCUAACAUAGGACAUCAUGCUAUUCCUGCUUCUUCUGGAAGCCAUGUAGAUGCCUGUGGUCCUUCUUAACCACUACAUACAUUGUUGAUGUCCAAUAACUCUCCUGCCCCUUGUGACUGCAUUAAAUUAUUGUUCUGUGUUACCAACAUGCAGAAUGUUAAUUUGCAAGAUUUAACCCACCAUCCAAAUGUAAGAUGAAAUCCAUAAUUCAUGUUGCCACCUGAAACCAUGUUGAUGCCAUUGAUCCCAUGUGCCUCUGUUAACCAAAUUGAUGUCCAUUAUUGAAUGACCUACCAUGCUCUUCCUACUAUUUCUGGAAGCCUUGUUGAUGCUUGUGGUCUUUCUUACUGUAGAUAUGACAUUGAUGUCCAUAUCCAUGGAGAUAUUCUGCUACCUGAGACCCUAUUGAUGCAAGAGUUCUGUGCUGCCAACGUGAUGAAUGUUAAUUGCCAUGAUCUCAGCUACCAUCUGAAACUGGUGAUAUUUACAUGCUACCACCUGCAACCUUGUGGAUGACAUUGAUACCUGCUGUUCUCUUUAUCAUGUUCAUGACCUUUACUAUGCUAUUCCUAUUGGUUUGAAGUCCAUGUUGAUGCCUUAUGUUACGUUUGGCUCCUGGAUAAGCUGUUGAUGUUGAUGUCCAUGUUCUGUCCUGCCACCUGAGACCACAUUGAGGUAAGUAUUCUGUGCUGCCCACAUGAAUAAUGUUGAUUUUCUUGAUCCCACAUGCCAUCCAAAAUUAAUUUAAUACUCCUGAUGCAUGCCACUGCAGGAAAUCAUGUUGAUGUCACUGUUCUUUGCUGCAUCUUCUAAACAUUGUUGAUGUUCAUCAUCCAACCUACUGUCCAAACUUUGUUGAUGUUACUGAUCUAUGUUGUAGCUGUCAACCAUGUUGAGGUUACUGAACUUUGCUACCACCUGUAACCAUAUUGAUGUCUGCAGUGUACAGUGUCAUCAGAAACAGUGUUGAAGUCAUUUGUCCAUACUGCUACCUUAGACCCAGUUCAAGCAACCAUGUUGAUGUGAGUGAUUCUCGCUGCCUCUCUUAACCUUGCUGAUAUCCAUGAUUCGACCUGUCAUCUGAAACUUUGUUGAUGUCACUGAUCUUUGCUAUUGCUGUCAACCAUGUUGAUGCUACUGAAACUUGCUUCCACUUGUAACCAUACUGCUGUCUCUACUCUGUCAUAAUCUGUGAAAAUUCUGAAAUCAAUGGAAUAUACUACCACCUGAGACCCACUUCAGGAAACCAACCAUGUUGAUGUCACUGAUCUUUGUUCCCUGUUUUGACCAUGUGGAUGUCCAUUAUCUGACUUAACAUCUGAAAUUAUGUUGAUGUCACUCAUUCAUGCUGCUGCUGAUAACCAUGUUUAUGGCCAUAGUCUUUGUUGGAAUCUUAGACCUUGUGAAUGUCCAUUGUCCAUGUUGCCACCUGAGUCCAUGAUGAUGACCAUGAUGACUUUAGUCUGUGCUGCUGUCAGCCAUAAUGUCGAUGUCUCUGAUUGGUGCUGCUACUGGGGACUAGGUCAAUAUGAAUGAUCUGAGCUGCCAACAGAAACUAUUUUGAUAUCAUUAAGCCAUCCUUGUGCUGGAGACCAUGUUGAAAUCUUUGUCCUUGAUGCCCUCAAAUACUAUGUUUAUGUUCAUGCUCUGGGCUGCAUGCUGAAGACCAGUUGGAUAUCCAUGACCCAGCUGCUGAUGGAGACUGUGUCGAUGUCUGUGGUCAGUACUGCCACAAGAAAGCAUCCUGAUAGUGAUCUGUGAUGCCUCCCUCAAACAUGUUAUGUUGGUGAUCUGUGUUGAUGUCCUGGACCAGAUGGAUGGCAGUUAUCCAAGCUGUCACCAGAAAUCUUGUGGACCAUGAUCUGUGCUGCUCCUGGAAACCCUGUAGAAGUCUAUGAUUCAUUCUGCUGCUGGAAACCAUGUGGAAGGCCUUGAUCUGUACUUCCACUGACUUCUAUGGGCAAAGAGCUUCUUUUGCAGUAGUAUCAAUGACUGUAGAAUCAUAACUGAAAUUCAGACAGACAUUGAAGGCUUCUGUGCCACCAUCCCCCCUAAAAAGAAAAUCUAGACAGGAUCUUAUUGGAGAGUUCUUGAAAGUUGUAAUAAAAAUACUUAACU